rnacentral:rRNA from 1 species
GUACGAAGGGGGCUAGCGUUGCUCGGAAUCACUGGGCGUAAAGCGCACGUAGGCGGCUUUUUAAGUCAGGGGUGAAAUCCUGGAGCUCAACUCCAGAACUGCCUUUGAUACUGAGAAGCUUGAGUCCGGGAGAGGUGAGUGGAACUGCGAGUGUAGAGGUGAAAUUCGUAGAUAUUCGCAAGAACACCAGUGGCGAAGGCGGCUCACUGGCCCGGUACUGACGCUGAGGUGCGAAAGCGUGGGGAGCAAACAGG